ACCGGAGAAAAGAUAGUUAGUUAUAAGCAGUCUAGUUCCCCUCCCCACUCACCAUGCCGGGAAACUCCGCUUCGAAGUUGUGGGUUAAGGACCUAGGGUGGCUGAACAACCUGCCUCCAACCCACCCCAGUAUAUUCGGUGCGAAGUUUCCUCUCUUCUUUGGGAUAUAGCCAUGAAUGUUAUGCGAUGAUCAACUGACAGUUCCUUUUUGCGGCGCGGGUAGGCUAGAAAGGUAACUAAUCUAAGCUAAGUAAUUUAAAGAGCUCAAUGGACAUAGCCGUAUAUACGGAAGACAGCCACCAUAUAUAUACAUAGUAUACCUCAUGCAUAAUGAAUUCCAUUCCGAGAUUGAAAGUCUAAAUGUAGCAAGCUCUACAGACUGUACAUCUGUGUGGUGAUAGAGAUUAGCCAGGCGCGCGUUAGGGCAUAUGCGCGGAAUAAGUGAGAACAAAACAUUUGUUUUUAAAACCUUGGUUGGAUGGAUUCAUCGUGAAAAGCGGUAUGGUUUUAUUUUUAACUGCACU
rnacentral:sRNA from 2 species